CUCUACCAUAAAGGCCUAAUUGGUGAGAUGCUGCAAAGACGGGAGAAACUUCCAGAAGGGCAACCAUCUCCACAGAGGAACUCUGGAGCUAUGUCAGAAUGACCAUGUGGUUCUUUGUCACCUCCAUGACCAAGGCCAGCUCUAGGAAGAGUUUUUGUGGUUCCAAUCUUCCUCCAUUUAAGAAUGAUCGAGGCCACUGUGUUCUUGGCGACCUUCAAUGCUGCAGAAUUUUGGUACCCUUCCCCAGAUCUGUGCCUCGACACAAUCCUGUCUCGGAGCUCUACGGACAAUUCCUUCGACCUCAUGGUGGACUCCAAUCAAGUUGUAAAAACAUCUCAAGGACGAUCAAUGGAAACAGGAUGCACCCGAGCUCAAUUUCGAAUCUCAUGGCAAAUGGUCUGAAUACUUAUGACCAGGAGAAUGACCAGUAGGACACCAGCAACAAGCAGACCCACAACCACUCCUACUAGGACUGAUGUAGAGGAUCCAGG